UCAUGACACAGCAACCAAGAACGCAAAAGCCAGUUUCCCAAGCAGAGGGGAAACAAAAAGUGAAAAAGAACAGAAUAGGCAUGGCCUUCACCCUACCCCAAACCUGAAAGAUAACACAAAGGCGGGAGGGCCGGCGCCACCCCUCCCCUGACCCUCUCAAUUCCUGCUGGUGCCAGUUCUAGAAAAUGAGGCCCUUUCCGAGAAGCCACCUCUGAUUCAAGUGAAGCUUGGUUACUUCAUAAUGGAUUAUGCUACAACGCGCUCUGGUUGCUAAUAAGUCACUAUGAAUUAAGGUUCUGACAAGAGCCUAGGUUUUGAGGGAGAAAACGGAACGUGGCCAGAAAUGUCUCAAGAGCUGGCAAAAGGGCUGUCUUUUGCUGUUACUGAAAUCAUCCAGGAAGGAAAGGAGAACCUGAAAGUCCUACUGGGAGGAGAGAACCCGUGAUCCAGUCGCCCCACGAAAAGGAUGAUGUGUGUUUCAACUCAGUAUUACUGAAAAUAGGAAAUACCAGGGAAACUAUUGCUGAUAUGAAUUCAUGCUGGUCUGAUAAACUAGAACAGUGGUAUCGGCCAGGAAACUCUGACAUGGUUUUUCCCUUUCCUCAGUUUUUUUUUUUUUUUUUUAAAGGAAGAAUGUUUGCUUUUCCAUUUAGGAGAUUUACGUGCCUUACAACUUAUUAGAGCAUCGAGAGGAUACAGGGAAAAGAGGACAGCACCUGCUUUCCAUCUGGUAACAUCGCCCUGCCGUGCCUCCCCGGGUGUGUUUGAGGCCACGACCUUCAUCUCUGCCUCCUUCACAAGCAGCAGAACCUGCCCUCAGGAAGAGGACCUGAUUAUAUCCGAUGAAGCUUAAAAUGAUACUCAUCUCUGGAUUUCACGAGGUGGCGGGGAGGGGCAGAAGAAAAGGGAGAGAGAGAAUCCCAAGCAGGUUCCACAAGCAGCCGGAGGCCAGUGUGGGUGGGGCUUCAUCUCUCAGCCCUGAGAUCAUGACUGAGCCAAAACCGAGAGUCAGACACUCAACUGGCUGAGCCACCCAGGCGCCCGACUUCUCACUUUGAAACAUGUCUGUCAAUUGUUUAUCUUAUACAACCUAAACAUUUUCCCAUUCUCUCCUUCUUCUCAACAGAUUUAUACUGAAGUUUUUAGAGUUUUUCCUCUGCUUUAUUGAGAUAUAAUUGACAUAAGACAUUCUGUAAGUUUAAGGUGUACGAUGUGUUGAUCUGAUAUAUUGCAAAAUGGUUACCACCACAGCACUAGCUAACACCUCCCUUACGUCACAGAAUUACAUUUCUUUAUUGUGGUAAGAGCAUUUAUGUUCUACUCUCUCAGCAACUGUCAAGUAUAUGAUACAGUCUUAUUAACCACCAUCACCAUGCGGGACAUUAGAUCCCUAGAAUUUAUUCAUGCUAACUUGAAGUCUGUACCCUCUAACCAGCAUCAGGCCAUUUCCCGCAGCUGCAACCCCAAGCCCUAUUAGUUACCACUCUACUGUUGCUAAGUUUCUACCAUUUUUGCUUUCUUACAUUCUGUAUACUACAGUAUUUAUCUUUCUCUGACUUAUUUCGCUUAGCACAAUGCUCUCAAGGUCC